rnacentral:rRNA from 1 species
AGGACGAACGCUGGCGGCGUGCUUAACACAUGCAAGUCGAGCGGAAAGGCCCUUCGGGGUACUCGAGCGGCGAACGGGUGAGUAACACGUGAGUAAUCUGCCCUUAGCUCUGGGAUAGCUCCGGGAAACCGGGAUUAAUACCAGAUACGACCACUUUAGACAUCUGCCGUGGUGGAAAGAAUUUCGGCUAAGGAUGAGCUCGCGGCCUAUCAGCUUGUUGGUGGGGUAACGGCCUACCAAGGCGACGACGGGUAGCCGGCCUGAGAGGGCGACCGGCCACACUGGGACUGAGACACGGCCCAGACUCCUACGGGAGGCAGCAGUGGGGAAUAUUGCGCAAUGGGCGAAAGCCUGACGCAGCGACGCCGCGUGGGGGAUGAAGGCCUUCGGGUUGUAAACCCCGUUUCAGCGAGGGACGAAGCGAAAGUGACGGUACCUGCAGAAGAAGCGCGGCUAACUACGUGCAGCAGCCGC